GACGAACGCUGGCGGCGUGCUUAACACAUGCAAGUCGAACGGUAAGGCCCCAGCGUGCUGGGGUACACGAGUGGCGAACGGGUGAGUAACACGUGGGUGACCUGCCCCGCACUUCGGGAUAAGCCUGGGAAACUGGGUCUAAUACCGGAUAGGACCGCACCGUGAGGGGGGGGUGGAAAGUUUUUCGGUGUGGGAUGGGCCCGCGGCCUAUCAGCUUGUUGGUGGGGUAAUGGCCUACCAAGGCGGCGACGGGUAGCCGGCCUGAGAGGGUGGACGGCCACAUUGGGACUGAGACACGGCCCAGACUCCUACGGGAGGCAGCAGUGGGGAAUAUUGCACAAUGGGAGGAAGCCUGAUGCAGCGACGCCGCGUGGGGGAUGACGGCCUUCGGGUUGUAAACUCCUUUCACCACCGACGAAGGUUUUCUGACGGUAGAUGGAGAAGAAGCACCGGCUAACUACGUG
rnacentral:rRNA from 1 species